rnacentral:rRNA from 1 species
UUGAAAGGGAAACGAUUGAAGUCAGUCGUACCAACGGAAAAUCAGCUCUUCGAGUGCGGACUUGUGGGUUACGUGAGCUUUACGGCCUCGUUGUUUGCAAUGUUCGUUCUUUUUGGGUGUACUUUUUCGUAUGGUUGGCCAAUAUCAGUUUCGAUCGCUAUAAAAUGACCGGCGGAAUGUAGCUUCGAUCUCGUAUUGAAGUGUUAUAGCCUCUGGUAGAUGUGGUGAUCGGGAUUGAGGAUUGCAACGGAUACCCUUCGGGGCUACCUGUCUGAUCUCUGAUCGUUGCUCUGGUGCCGAAAGCGUGCUUACGGUUAUUUAAGUUGACGGUCAAAAGGUUAGAACGUGAUUAUAUUCGUUAAGGAUGUUGACGUA